CAAUCUCUCAUAUCUAAAUUGAUCAAUUUAGUGGCAUUCUGAAUCGAGGAAGGAAGUGUCACCAAAGAUUCGCAUCCAAAAAGAUAUAGUCUCUCCAGGUUUAUGGCUAAAGAAAGAUCUGGAAUUUCUUUCAAAUAUUUGGAACCAUGCAGAUACAUCUCCUUGAGGCUUCCAAGUGGCUGAUAACAAAAUAGGGGAAAAGAGAGUACACGCGUUAAUGAAUAUUUUAAACAGAUUCAUUUUUGUUUUUCUAACAUAUUUAUGUUUAGAAAUUGAUCACUAAUAGAAUUAGUACCUGAGUUCCAUCCCACAGCUUCUCAAGGUCACUAUUCUCCAUUCUGAGUUCAACUAGAUACUCAGCCUUAAAAUUAGAAGGCAAACGCUUCACUGGACAAUAAUCCCACCAUAGCCUUUUGAGUUUACGUGGCAAGUAAAUGAGGCCUUGAGUGCCUUCCAUACUUGACCAAUCAACUGAUAGAUAUUCGAGAUUACACAUGCCUUCUAAUGAUUUUAAAUCUAUUAAUAGCACCCCCGAACAAUAUAACGUCCUCAGUUUAAUGGCAUUCUGAAUCGAGGAAGGAAGUGUCACCAAAGAUUCGCAUUUAGAAAGAUUUAAUUCCUCGAGGUUUAUGGCUAAAGAAAGAUCUGGAAUUUCUUUCAAAUUGUUGGAACACCCCAAAUCCAUCUUCUUGAGACUUCCAAGGGGCUGAAAACAAAAUAUGGAAAAAGAGAAUACACACGUUCACAAAUAUACCACAAUUUUCUGUUCUAAAAACUGACAACUAAUAAAAAUUUAGAAUUCGUACC
rnacentral:lncRNA from 1 species